ACGGGGGGAGCAAGCGUUGUUCGGAUUUACUGGGCGUAAAGGGCGUCUAGGCGGGUCUUCAAGUCAGAUGUGAAAUUUUUCGGCUCAACCGGAAACCUGCAUUUGAUACUGUCGGCCUUGAGUACAGGAGAGGAAAGCGGAACUGAGCGUGUAGCGGUGAAAUGCGUAGAUAUGCUCAGGAACACCGGUGGCGAAGGCGGCUUUCUGGCCUGAUACUGACGCUGAAGCGCGAAAGCGUGGGGAGCAAACAGGAUUAGAUACCCUGGUAGUCCACGCUGUAAACGAUGGGCACUAGGUGUUGGAGGUAUUGACCCCUUCAGUGCCGCAGCUAACGCAUUAAGUGCCCCGCCUGGGGAGUACGAUCGCAAGGUUGAAACUCAAAGGAAUUGACGGGGGCCCGCACAAGCAGCGGAGCGUGUGGUUUAAUUCGAUGCAACGCGAAGAACCUUACCAAGGCUUGACAUGCCAGAAGUAGAAACUUGAAAGAGGGACCAUCUGUAUCCAGUCAGAAGCUGGCACAGGUGCUGCAUGGCUGUCGUCAGCUCGUGCCGUGAGGUGUUGGGUUAAGUCCCGCAACGAGCGCAACCCUCGUCACUAGUUAAUUUCUCUAGUGAGACUGCCCGUAAAGCGAGGAGGAAGGUGAGGAUGACGUCAAGUCAGCAUGGCCCUUAUGCCUUGGGCUACACACACGCUACAAUGGGUGAUACAAAGGGUCGCUAAGGAGCAAUCCGGAGCUAAUCCCAAAAAAUCAUCCUCAGUUCGAUUGCAGGCUGAAACUGCCUGCAUGAAGUUGGAGUUGCUAG
rnacentral:rRNA from 1 species